rnacentral:rRNA from 1 species
GACGAACGCUGGCGGCGUGCUUAACACAUGCAAGUCGAACGGAAAGGCCCUGCUUGCAGGGUACUCGAGUGGCGAACGGGUGAGCAACACGUGGGUGAUCUGCCCUUCACUUCGGGAUAAGCCUGGGAAACUGGGUCUAAUACCGGAUAGGAGCCAUUUUUAGUGUGAUGGUUGGAAAGUUUUUUCGGUGUAGGAUGAGCUCGCGGCCUAUCAGCUUGUUGGUGGGGUAAUGGCCUACCAAGGCGGCGACGGGUAGCCGGCCUGAGAGGGUGGACGGCCACAUUGGGACUGAGAUACGGCCCAGACUCCUACGGGAGGCAGCAGUGGGGAAUAUUGCACAAUGGGCGCAAGCCUGAUGCAGCGACGCCGCGUGGGGGAUGACGGCCUUCGGGUUGUAAACUCCUUUCGCUAGGGACGAAGCUUUUUGUGACGGUACCUAGAGAAGAAGCACCGGCUAACUACGUG